GGAAAACUGAUCCAAAAUGGCCAUGGUGCAUCACUCUCCACCCAAAAUCCCUCAGGAAAAGUAAAGACCCAGGUGCACCUGCUUCCUCUGGGGUUACCAAAACAGUGCUUGUGGUAGGCUCCUCCUUCAUGGUAGGGUGCUUCCCAUGGGUUUGUACAACCAGGUCCAGAAAGGACCGAUGCUGAGGCUGGAUGCAUUGGCAGCUCAAGUACACAUUGUCCCUCUCCACGGGCACUUGUUAAUGUACUGUAGCUGACUUAUGAAGAACGUUUAGAAAAGAUAAAAAGAAAAUAUACAUACAGGCACAGUGUUUAAUUGGCUUAAAAACCCCAUUGUCAUGUACAAGUGGGAUGGAUAGCCUACAGUGGUCCAGGCAGGUUUAGAGGAAGGAGAUGGUGGGACUGUGGGAACAUCAUCCCACCUGUGUGUCAGGUGUCUCCCAAAAGUUUUAUUUUCUACAUUUUGGCUUACAAACUCUGAGGACUGAAGGGAAGCUCCAGUCCCUGCUCAGGUCUCCUAAUUUCCCUGUGGGCAGCUGCUGCUUGCGUGUGCCAGAGGUUUGAUGCUGGUGAGUUCUACAGUGACUCCUUGCCGAGCUGUGUGGGUUGGGUUGCUGGCAUCAUCUCUUCUGUUCUGGCUGUUUCGAAGGGGAGAAUUAAUACUGUGCUGACGUUGCACUCCCUUUGCAAAUUUUGCCAUGAGAAUAGCUUCAUGCUUUGCCAUUUUCUGUUCUCUUUACAGCAUUUGUUAUGAGAAUGGGAUACCGUAAUUUUAAUGCCCAGUAUAGUCUGCGAAAGACUAUAAACAUUUAAUAGACCCAUAAACACAGGCUUUAACCUUUUCAAUAUUUGGCACCUGACCAACCUCCACCGCACCGUGUCCCCCAGGGUACUGCUGCCAGCAAGAGGCAUGGCCACAGCAAAGGGCACCCAACAGCACCAACGUCCAAAAGGUCGGAGCACUGCAUCCAGCCUCUACCUCCCUUGGGAUACAUGGUGUGUUAGUGCUGUGCUGGGGCUUGGGCUGGGGAAAUGCCCAGGAUAUUUGCCAUGAAAUAGCAAGAAGUGUUUUUGUCAUCAAGGGUGAAGAACGUUACAGAGUUUGUAUGCAGGGAGGGCACAAAUGUGGUGCGGUUGGAAAUCUGCUGAAAUUUGUGUGCAGUGCAGUGAGCUUUACUUUUUAAUCUGGAUUUAGGAUGAAUGCAACAGGCACUGCUUUGCCGAGUUGGGGUUAAAUUGCUCUGCUCUCCACUUCUGUCCCAGGAGUAGCGUUUGGGGCAGCUCGGUAGUGGUCGGCCCAGAAGAAAGAGCCCGGACAGAUUUCUACUACAGCUUUACUGUAGUAUGGGUGCUAUACAACAGUAUUGCUUACUCCAUGAUUUUUUGGUUAAAAUGUACCAUGGCUGUACAGUUUGGGGUGUGCUGUGUUCUAUCUCCGCCUUGGCCGUGUGCAGGGCAGGGUGUGGGAGCUGCACGUGCGGUGCAGCAUUGCCCACGGGGAGGAUCAGCCCUGCAGCCCCCAUCCCCGGGCUGAGCUCCCGCUGCUGGGCUGCUUCCCCACAUCAAAGGUAAUAAAGUUUUACAUCAAUGGGGUCUAAACGUAUGCGGAGCUGUAAUCUUCCUGUCGGGUGGGUAAUCCCCCCAAUGACACUCGCUGGACGGUUUCUGCUAACUCCACGUUGCAGCCCUGAAUUAGCAUUUCUUAGGUCGGAAGGACCCGCUGUGUCCAUACAGUGCGUGUGAAGCCCAGCGCAAAGCACAGCAUCUCGACAGCGUUUGUAAUUCUGUGUUAGCAACUCCAUUUGCAGGAGCUGGAAAAAAGCUGUGGCUGACUUCGUCCCUCCUGCAAUCGUGUUUUUUGUCUGGAUUUUUGACUUCUUAUCCCCCCUCCAGCACAGCCCUUGCACAGAGCUCCCAGCACCAGCGGGCAGCACUCAGGCUGGUUGAGUUGGAUUGCAGGGCCCUGAGUGCAGUGGUGUAACACAGAGCCCAUCCUCCAGGCAGAGCCGUGGCCGGAGUUGCUCAGGCACUGCCCUUAGCCAUAACCACGUUCUGGUUAAUGAGAUCUGCAGGCUGCUUUUUAAAUUAUUACUAUUAUUUCCCUUCCCGAAGAUAGAGAUGCAAAACAAGACUUGAUGCCUCAGCCAAAAAAGAAAACAACAUCAGUGCAAAAACGGUGUUUGGAGGUUGGGUAAAUAUUAUUUGUACUCGAGGUGCAGAUGCUGAGGGAUGGCACCACUGAGGGAAAAAAGUCCAGGAGCAGAAAUGGGGGGGGGGGUCACGUUGGGUUCCUCAGCAGUGCCCAACAGUGGCCGGAGGCUGCUGCCUGCUUCUCAGCGUUGCUGCAAGAUGGGUGUUCUGACAAAUUCUGCCUUGCAGAGCAUUUGCAGUGCUGCUUUGCGGCACGGUGCUGAGCGGGGCAGACCUGCAGAGCCUGGGGUCAGGUGGGAGCACAGCACUGCAGCUCACCACCACAUUUAGGUUUUCGAAGCUCUUCUUUUCUUGCUUGAAAUCCCGUGUCUCUGCUCUCAGGGUGGAAGCAGAAGCCUUGCUUUCUUUUCUUGAUAUGAAAGCAAAAGUUAUUUAGUUUGGCCCCCUCCGUAUCUUACUGCUAACAAAAAUAGAUGCUGCUCGCUCUAAUAACAGUCCGAUUUGGAAAUUAUUUACCAUUUAGACUUUGUCCACCCUAAUUGCUUUUGAUACUUCAGAAUAUAUGUAAUGGAAACCAGCUGAAAGGCCGUGGUUUAAAAAUGGGCUCUUGCACAUUGGAAGUAAAUUUUAUCCUGCAAUCAGCCCACAAGAUCUUAACUGCAGCUCUCACGUCUCCUAACUCUGUAAUUGCUGUGGAGCCUUUCUGGUCUGCUGGUUGCAGGCCACGGUGUAGGGAAAGGGGAAAGCGGUGCAGCGUGGGGCUGACCCGGGGUUUGGGGAGGUGCAGCGGGGCCGUGCCUGAGGCUGUGUGUUCUGGGAUGUGCGAAGGCACAACGAAGGACUUACACGCACAGCCAUCUCCCUGCAUUAAGUGGAGGCUGCCCCGGUGGCUGAGGGGAUGAGUUGUGCCCGUGGGAUCAGACCCAGCGCUGAAGGACCCAUACGGCCGCAUGCUGGGGUCCGCUUGGCCCCAGUCUAUAAAGCCACUGCUUAAGAACAAAGGCAGACAAACUUUAAAAACCCUUCAAAGGAAAGAAUUUAAGCCUCGGUCAGAGGCAGCUGGGUGUGGGACCCCCAUCCCUGUGCUGGGCCACGUCAGGCCGUGGUGCUGCGUGGUUCUGCAACUUUGCUUCCAAGUGCACACCUUCCUCUGGCCCUGUUCUGCUGCAGGAGAGCGCAGCUUUUGGACGCAUUCAGACACCGCAUACGGAGGAAGCCUCACGUCCUCUUCUUUUCUUAGCAAGCAGAGAUGCUUUCAGCCUCAAAAAGAUAUCGAACGGUUCAUCAGAACCCCGAAGUGGAGUAAUUCGUUGCUACCAGCGAUGCUUCUUGCAGGAGCAGGUGUGACAUCCCAGCACUGAAUCAGGGUCUCCCAUCGCUGCGAGUGGCUGUGGGUGCGCACCAUCAGUCCUCCUCGUGGCCGUGCCAGGCCUCGGUGCUGCUCGUUGUUAUCGUGAUUUUUAAAUCAUCCCCUAAAUUCAGAGGAAGCCCUGAGCCGUGAGCGUCCGACUUCCCUCCCUCCCCCCUCUGGUGCCGCUUUGUGCUCGGGGUGCCGGCCGCGUGGGGCACGGCACAGUGCUCGGCGCUUGACAUUAGGUGGCACAAACGAGUUUCCUUCUGCUCGCAGGAACACUGAUGCACAGGGAAUCAUGAGACGAGAAUUGUCUUUUUAAAAUGAAUUUCUCCUUCCUUGUUUUUGAUGUUAUUCUUUUUUUUUUUUUUUUUUUCUUCUCCGGCUUUCAAGUAGUCCUUGAAGUACUUUUGCUGAUGAACUUUACUUCUUUCACCGCCUCUCUUUUGGCUGCGGGCACGAGGCUGGAAGACGACCCAAACGCAGCGCUCCCUGUGCCGGGUGCGGAGCAGCACCGCGGCUCGGAGGGGGUUCGUUCCGGUGGGACCCCUCCGUCCUUCGGCCCCGCUUCCCUCUGGGGCUGAGCGGUGCGCGGCCGCCGCCGGGGCUGUUGGCGACCCGCGGCCGUCAGCUCGCGGCUCGGUGCGGCCGUCGCGAUGCGUGGAUGGAGGUGCGGGGCGCGGGGGCCGCUUCCUCCUCCUGCCGUCCUUCUCCUCCCGCCUCGCUCCCGCGGGCCGCAC
ensembl:lncRNA